rnacentral:tRNA from 1 species
GCCCUCGUAGCUCAGGGGAUAGAGCAGUGGUUUCCUAAACCACGAGUCGGGUGUUCGAAUCACCCCGGGGGCA